rnacentral:rRNA from 1 species
GAUGAACGCUGGCGGCGUGCCUAAUACAUGCAAGUCGAGCGAACGGACGAGAAGCUUGCUUCUCUGAUGUUAGCGGCGGACGGGUGAGUAACACGUGGAUAACCUACCUAUAAGACUGGGAUAACUUCGGGAAACCGUAGCUAAUACCGGAUAAUAUUUUGAACCGCAUGGUUCAAAAGUGAAAGACGGUCUUGCUGUCACUUAUAGAUGGAUCCGCGCUGCAUUAGCGAGUUGGUAAGGUAACGGCUUACCAAGGCAACGACGCAUAGCCGACCUGAGAGAGUGAGCGGACACACUGGAACUGGGACACGGUCCAGACUCCUACGGGAGGCAGCGGUAGGGAAUCUUCCGCAAUGGGCGAAUGCCUGACGGAGCAACGCCGCGUGAGUGAUGAAGGUCUUCGGAUCGUAAAACUCUGUUAUUAGGGAAGAACAUAUGUGUAAGUAACUGUGCACAUCUUGACGGUACCUACUCAGAAAGCCACGGCUAACUACGUG